AUUGAACGCUGGCGGCAGGCUUAACACAUGCAAGUCGAGCGGGGGAAGGUAGCUUGCUACCGGACCUAGCGGCGGACGGGUGAGUAAUGCUUAGGAAUCUGCCUAUUAGUGGGGGACAACAUCUCGAAAGGGAUGCUAAUACCGCAUACGUCCUACGGGAGAAAGCAGGGGAUCUUCGGACCUUGCGCUAAUAGAUGAGCCUAAGUCGGAUUAGCUAGUUGGUGGGGUAAAGGCCUACCAAGGCGACGAUCUGUAGCGGGUCUGAGAGGAUGAUCCGCCACACUGGAGCUGAGACACGGCCCAGACUCCGACGGGAGGCAGCAGUGGGGAAUAUUGGACAAUGGGGGGAAACCUGAUCCAGCCAUGCCGCGUGUGUGAAGAAGGCCUUAUGGUUGUAAAGCACUUUAAGCGAGGAGGAGGCUACCCUAGUUAAUACCUAGGGAUAGUGGACGUUACUCGCAGAAUAAGCACCGGCUAACUCUGUGCCAGCCGCCGCGGUAA
rnacentral:rRNA from 1 species